UCCCGCGGCUGCUGCGCCCGGGGCGGGCCGUGCCCCCGUCCCCGCCGCAUGCAGAGGCGGCCCGGACUCCUCAGGGGGAGCGCGGGCCGGCAGCGGUUCCGCGCCCUGCGCCGCCGGGGCCUCGGGCGAAGGGCCCGGGCGGGACGCGGAGCGGUGAGGGGCAGGCAGAGCCCGUCGCAAAGCCUGCGCCCACCCUGCCUGGCAGAGCAGAAGGCCCAGCAGCAGCUGACAGCUCUUGCUUUGGGACAACUGCUGGCUUUCCCAUGGGUGCACCUGCGCUGACGAGAGUAGGCAGGGUCCUUCACCAUGUGGGAGGUGAUGAGGCCAAACCACUCUGGCCUGUAGGAGAAUGAUAACCUGUCACUUGGAUGCAGGACUCGAGGGAUAGAGAUAGGCAGAAUGAAAUUAACACAGCAGCAUCACUAUUCUUACCCCAUUUGUAGGUGUCUUGCCAGUAGUAAGAGCAGAGCAAGAGGAAUAUGACUCUCCUUUUGAUUCUGAGGUACCUUCUCUAAAGGAGGCAGGGGGGGCCCACUGGGCUUGCUUGCUUUUGGGCUCAUUUCCCUUUGCUGCUACCUGUUCAGAAGCAGGACCCUGACAUGCUGUUGCUACAGGCAAACUGUUCUCAAAGUGAGGUCGAGCUAAUAACCUGGGUCUCCCAGCAGCUGACCUCAGAGCUGGAUUUCUAGUAUAGGAUUGAAGCAGUAAGGCUUCCAGCCUGUUGCAAUCCUCCGAAAUCCCAGAAGGCUGGCGCUUGUCAGGGUUGCUGGCUUUCCAUGUCACAGCUCUCUUCUCCAGCUCCAGUCAGUGUCAAAUGUUUACCUGUAGGGCCUACAGUCUAGAUGCUUAGCUUCUGUCUAGGUCCUCUUAUCCUGGCCAGGUGUACUCUGGCCCGUUUCGAAAGCCCUGCUCAAGAGAGAGAUGCCUAACAUGCUGAUUGUUGGCCCUUUUCAUUCUUUCUGUCACCUGUUACGUUGUUACAUGACUUGGCUGAAAUGGGAGCUCUGUGCAUGGAGGCGGUUGAGGAGCCUGUGCCAGUUCUCACGUGUGUUUUUUUAAAUUAUGCAGAUAGAUUCUGAAGGUCCCAGGAAAAUGUCAGCCAGCAUGCUGCUUCCAGCUGCAGACAGACACAGAGCAGGCAUGCAGUCUGUUGGAAAGGAGCAUGGCAAUGGUAAUCUGAUGGACUAAAUGGUUACCUUUGUAAGCUUCUCUGGAGUGAAGCAGAUGGGGAAAAGCCAAGUAAAAUAAGCGCUCACAGCAGCCUUGUGCUUCUUACCUCCUUUGUAGGUGUACUGCCAGCAGCAGGAGCAGAGCAAAAGGAAGACUGACUCCUGAGAAUGAGGUUUCUGCGCUGGUGAGAGAAGAGAUUCAGCUAAAGAAGGAUGCUUCAAAUCAAGCAAGUUAUUGAGGUGACAGACAGGUGACUGUUAGAGGCUGAUGCAUGUAUUCAUGAAUAGAGCCUGUCAGCGUACAGUUCUUGC